rnacentral:rRNA from 1 species
CGGGUGAGUAACACGUAAACAACCUGCCUUCAGGAUGGGGACAACAGACGGAAACGACUGCUAAUACCGAAUACGCUUGGAAGACCGCAUGAUCUUCCAAGGAAAGGGUGGCCUCUACCUGUAAGCUAUCGCCUGAAGAGGGGUUUGCGUCUGAUUAGGCAGUUGGUGAGGUAACGGCCCACCAAACCUACGAACAGUAGCCGGUCUGAGAGGAUGAACGGCCACACUGGAACUGAGACACGGUCCAGACUCCUACGGGAGGCAGCAGUGGGGAAUCUUCCGCAAUGGGCGAAAGCCUGACGGAGCAACGCCGCGUGAGUGAUGACGGCCUUCGGGUUGUAAAGCUCUGUGAUCGGGGACGAACGGUCCGUAAGCUAAUACCUUAUGGAAGUGACGGUACCCGAAUAGCAAGCCACGGCUAACUACGUGCCAGCAGCCGCGGUAAUACGUAGGUGGUAAGCGUUGUCCGGAAUUAUUGGGCGUAAAGCGCGCGCAGGCGGCUUUCUAAGUCCAUCUUAAAAGUGCGGGGCUUAACCCCGUGAUGGGAUGGAAACUGGGAAGCUGGAGUAUCGGAGAGGAA